rnacentral:lncRNA from 1 species
UCUUGGCCUCGAACAGGAAGAGGAACACAUCUACCGAGGCCGGUAGUCCCAAAUGCGCGCACAAGAUUUGAAACGCCCGCACGAAUGCCCAGCUGUUGGGAUGGAGCUGGGCGGCGGCGAUGUCAAGCUCGGUUAAGAGUUCCCGUUCGAAACGGGUAAGGGGAAACCUAAGUUUCACCUUCUUGAAGAGGGUGGUAUACACAAAGCAGAACAACUCGCCGUUGUUCCCUUUGUCAUCUGCGCAGACUGGCACGUCGAGGGGGC